ensembl:snRNA U2 U2 spliceosomal RNA
UUAGUUUCUCGGCCGUUUGGCUAAGAUCAAGUGUAGUAUCUGUUCUUAUCAGUUUAAUAUCUGAUACGUCCUCUAUAUGAGGACUACAUGCUAAAUAGAUUUUUAGAAUGGGGAGACUGAAGAGGGGCUUGCCCCGUCCGCUCCACGCAUCAACCUGGUAUUGCAGUACCUCCAGGCAAUUGUGGGCUGGAG